rnacentral:lncRNA from 1 species
CUGGGACUCGCUUCUCCCGGACGGCACUGCGGGGGCGGCGAAGCCAGGGGGCGGUCAGGGCGGUGCCGCCCACUCCGGCCCUUUCCCACAGCGCCGCCGGGGUGGCGCCGGAGCAGCAGUGCCCAGGGGCUCCGGCCUCUGCGACGAACAGCUGGCGGAUCCCGAGUGGAUGCAUGAGGUGAUUUGA